rnacentral:rRNA from 1 species
GACGAAUCAUCUGGAAAGAUGAAUCAAAGAAGGUAAUAAUCCUGUAGUCGAAAAUGUUGUCUCUCUUGAGUGGAUCCUGAGUACGACGGAGCACGUGAAAUUCCGUCGGAAUCUGGGAGGACCAUCUCCUAAGGCUAAAUACUCUCUAGUGACCGAUAGUGAACCAGUACCGUGAGGGAAAGGUGAAAAGCACCCCGGAAGGGGAGUGAAAUAGAACCUGAAACCGUGUGCUUACAAGUAGUCAGAGCCCGUUAAUGGGUGAUGGCGUGCCUUUUGUAGAAUGAACCGGCGAGUUACGAUUUGAUGCAAGGUUAAGCAGUAAAUGUGGAGCCGUAGCGAAAGCGAGUCUGAAUAGGGCGUUUAGUAUUUGGUCGUAGACCCGAAACCAGGUGAUCUACCCUUGGUCAGGUUGAAGUUCAGGUAACACUGAAUGGAGGACCGAACCGACUUACGUUGAAAAGUGAGCGGAUGAACUGAGGGUAGCGGAGAAAUUCCAAUCGAACCUGGAGAUAGCUGGUUCUCUCCGAAAUAGCUUUAGGGCUAGCCUCAAGUGAUGAUUAUUGGAGGUAGAGCACUGUUUGGACGAGGGGCCCCUCUCGGGUUACCGAAUUCAGACAAACUCCGAAUGCCAAUUAAUUUAACUUGGGAGUCAGAACAUGGGUGAUAAGGUCCGUGUUCGAAAGGGAAACAGCCCAGACCACCAGCUAAGGUCCCAAAAUAUAUGUUAAGUGGAAAAGGAUGUGGCGUUGCCCAGACAACUAGGAUGUUGGCUUAGAAGCAGCCAUCAUUUAAAGAGUGCGUAAUAGCUCACUAGUCGAGUGACACUGCGCCGAAAAUGUACCGGGGCUAAACAUAUUACCGAAGCUGUGGAUUGUCCUUUGGACAAUGGUAGGAGAGCGUUCUAAGGGCGUUGAAGCAUGAUCGUAAGGACAUGUGGAGCGCUUAGAAGUGAGAAUGCCGGUGUGAGUAGCGAAAGACGGGUGAGAAUCCCGUCCACCGAUUGACUAAGGUUUCCAGAGGAAGGCUCGUCCGCUCUGGGUUAGUCGGGUCCUAAGCUGAGGCCGACAGGCGUAGGCGAUGGAUAACAGGUUGAUAUUCCUGUACCACCUAUAAUCGUUUUAAUCGAUGGGGGGACGCAGUAGGAUAGGCGAAGCGUGCGAUUGGAUUGCACGUCUAAGCAGUAAGGCUGAGUAUUAGGCAAAUCCGGUACUCGUUAAGGCUGAGC